UCGAGAGGCUUCGGCAAUGGGGGAAACCCUGACCGAGCGACGCCGCGUGGAGGAUGAAGGCCCUUGGGUCGUAAACUCCUUUCGUGGGGAAAGAAUGUGUCCGGGGUAAAUAAUCCCGGGCAUUGACGGUACCCCAAGAAGAAGCUCUGGCUAACUCCGUGCCAGCAGCCGCGGUAAUACGGGGGGAGCAAGCGUUGUUCGGAAUCACUGGGCGUAAAGGGCGUGUAGGCGGUUCGGUAAGUGGGAUGUGAAAUGCCCCGGCUCACCCGGGGACCUGCAUCCCAAACUGCUGAGCUUGAGUACAGGAGAGGGUGGGGGAAUUCCAGGUGUAGCGGUGAAAUGCGUAGAUAUCUGGAGGAACACCGGUGGCGAAGGCGCCCACCUGGCCUGCUACUGACGCUGAGGCGCGAAAGCUAGGAGAGCAAACGGGAUUAGAUACCCCGGUAGUCCUAGCCGUAAACGGUGAUCACUAGGUGUUGGGAGCAUCGACCCUUCCAGUGCCGCAGCUAACGCAUUAAG
rnacentral:rRNA from 1 species